AUAUCCAUACACCUUGAGCCAACCAAAGUGGGUAGAAAGGAGGUGUCGUCAUGUAGAACAAUUGGGCAUCGAGCAAGGUGGAAUGUAUAAUGAGGUGUAGUUAUAGCGUUUUUGGCGAUCCCCCCCCCCCUGGGCUCCGAUUUUGACAGAUGGUUUUCCGCUUGUAUUGAUAUGUAUUGAUGGAUUGUUUACGUUUUGCAUGGUCAAUAUUUGGUGGAGAUCAAUUUGGGUGAAUAUUUUAGUUUAUUAGAACACAGUCCGUCAUUUGAAAUGGAAAUUUUCCUUCGAGAACUUGAAGCGUUCGCCAAAAGCGGAAAACUAACUGUCAGUUUUCUUCGUCGAUUCUUCUUCCAUCUAGCUGUCAAAACGGGCUUAUAACUUGACCUAAUAUCUUUACGGUCCUUGGCAUCGAGGCUUCAGAAAAAAUUACAAAACCAGGAUCGACGGCAGUUGUCAAAUGCGACGAAUGUUGCUGGUAUUUUGAUGAUAUAUGAAUUGUUUUCGUUUAAUAAACAUUUUUUUUAGCAUUAAAAAUUCGUAUUUUGCAUCCACACUCCAUACAUCGAAAUUUUACACGUUAUAAUGCAGCUGCUGCCUGUAAACAAAUAUCGACGGCUAUUGUCUAACUGAAUCUCAAAAUGGCAACAUGCCAAACGCUAAGAAGACGCCUCCUCUAUAUUCGACCUUGCAGCCAACGAACUGAAAACGGAAAGGACCCCAAUGAUCGUUUUAAAAAAUCAAUCCUGAAAUGAGCGUGGAGCAAAAUAUAAAAACAUGUACCGCCAUAAAUCUCUUGCGCAUGUGUAGCCAUGGGUGAAGCAUCAAGCCCGAAAAGAAACACGGCAAAGAUCCAUUUUUUUUGGAACGAUAACAUUUUACAGUUUACCCGCUUAUUUUCUCUAGCAGUGCCAACUACGACAGCACUUAUCUGCAAUAUUCACCGCCAGUGUGGCUUACUGUGCUGCAUUUCAUGGGAAGCGACCGUGUUUGCACUUACACAUCGCAACGGCAAGAAGCGCCGUGUGGCUGUUCAGUUGAUUAUUUCUCGCUCUCCCUCGCCCUUCAAUACGUUCGUCACAUUUGUGUCGAGCAUCGAUAAAAGCGGUAGAUAAAAAGAUUAUACAAUACACCUUUCGUACAAUAGCCGUCGCAAUAAUGGUAAUAAUAAUUACAAUAGUAUAAUCGGUUCAUUAAGAGGCUGGUGAUGCUUCUCAGUUCUCACGCACGCACCAACGCACGCGCGCUAUAUAGGAAGGAUCGCGGAUUUUGGAUAGCUAGCAGUGUGUGUUUUUUCUCUCUCUCUUUCUUUCGGGAUCAAAGCAGCCGACGCUUGCUCGAUGAACGACAACAAGGGGGCAUGGGGCAACGUCCGUCUUUCGGGAUUGUUGUAAAAUUUCAUUCUAUAAAACUGUGUACCUGUAUUUUCGGAACCGGAAACCACCGUGCGUCUCCUGCAUAUGAUUAGUGAUGAUCAUUAGUAGUAUCCUAGUGCCAAUUAAAAUCUGUGUUCCGCUCUCAUUUGUGAGUGGUUUCAGUGCUGUGCUGCUGUUUGUAGAUGGCUUAGUAAACGGUAGGUUUGUAAUCUGUUGUGCUCAAUUCUUGCAACCGCUGAAAUGCUUCUUACAAAAGAGAUUGUUUAAACAAAUGUAAUAAAAAAACAGCUGUACAAAGACCGGGUUUAAAUAAAAAUUUAAUCAGCAUUAAAGUGUUGAAGAAUCGAACUCAACGAUUGUAAACAAACGGCCGCAUUGUUGUGGUCGUUACUAAGAGGGAUAACGUCAUGCUUUUCUGCUACUAUGAUUGUUGACAGGUAAAAUUGAUAUCUCUUCAUACUUCGAUUUCCUAUUUUCUACUCUGUCUGUCCCCCUUUUAACCAUUCUCCCGCUCUCUCUCUCUUUCUCUCUCUCUAUUUCACUCGCACACUUUCUCUUCCUUUCUCACUCCCUUCCAUAAACGUGUUCGCUAUUCGUUUAAUCUUAUUUUCUUUUGUUUAUUUUAUUUCGCUACUUAAGA